AAGAAUACCCGCUGAAUUUAAGCAUAUAACUAGGCGGAGGAAAAGAAACUAACCAGGAUUCCCUCAGUAACUGCGAGUGAAGCGGGAAAAGCUCAGACUGAAAAUCUUCGGAAUUGUAGUCUGGAGAAGUAUGGUCAGCAGAUGAUGAUAGGUAAAGUCUUCUGGAAAGGAGCGCCUUGGAGGGUGAUAGCCCCGUUCAUACCCAUCAUUAGAAGCGUACGACCUACUUUCUACGAGUCGAGUUGUUUGGGACUGCAGCUCUAAGUGGGUGGUAAAUUCCAUCUAAAGCUAAAUAUUGGUGGGAGACCGAUAGCGAACAAGUACCGUGAGGGAAAGAUGCAAAGAACUUUGAAAAGAGAGUUAAAUAGUACCUGAAAUUGCUGAAAUGGAACCGAUAGGAGGCAGUGUCGGUGUCGUAUA
rnacentral:rRNA from 8 species